CCUACGGGAGGCAGCAGUCGAGAAUCAUUCACAAUGGGGGAAACCCUGAUGGUGCGACGCCGCGUGGGGGAAUGAAGGUCUUCGGAUUGUAAACCCCUGUCAUGUGGGAGCAAAUUAAAAAGAUAGCACCACAAGAGGAAGAGACGGCUAACUCUGUGCCAGCAGCCGCGGUAAUACAGAGGUCUCAAGCGUUGUUCGGAAUCACUGGGCGUAAAGUUUGCGUAGGCUGUUUCGUAAGUCGUGUGUGAAAGGCGCGGGCUCAACCCGCGGACUGCACAUGAUACUGCGAGACUAGAGUAAUGGAGGGGGAACCGGAAUGCGCGGUGUAGCAGUGAAAUGCGUAGAUA
rnacentral:rRNA from 1 species